rnacentral:rRNA from 1 species
UACGUAGGGGGCAAGCGUUGUCCGGAAUUAUUGGGCGUAAAGAGCUCGUAGGCGGUCUGUCGCGUCGGCUGUGAAAACCCGAGGCUCAACCUCGGGCCUGCAGUCGAUACGGGCAAACUAGAGUACUGCAGGGGGGGACUGGAAUUCCUGGUGUAGCGGUGAAAUGCGCAGAUAUCAGGAGGAACACCGGUGGCGAAGGCGGGUCUCUGGGCAGUAACUGACGCUGAGGAGCGAAAGCGUGGGGAGCGAACAGG